UGGGGAAUUUUGGACAAUGGGCGAAAGCCUGAUCCAGCAAUGCCGCGUGUGUGAAGAAGGCCUUCGGGUUGUAAAGCACUUUUGUCCGGAAAGAAAUCCUUGGCUCUAAUACAGUCGGGGGAUGACGGUACCGGAAGAAUAAGCACCGGCUAACUACGUGCCAGCAGCCGCGGUAAUACGUAGGGUGCAAGCGUUAAUCGGAAUUACUGGGCGUAAAGCGUGCGCAGGCGGUUUGCUAAGACCGAUGUGAAAUCCCCGGGCUCAACCUGGGAACUGCAUUGGUGACUGGCAGGCUAGAGUAUGGCAGAGGGGGGUAGAAUUCCACGUGUAGCAGUGAAUGCGUAGAGAUGUGGAGGAAUACCGAUGGCGAAGGCAGCCCCCUGGGCCAAUACUGACGCUCAUGCACGAAAGCGUGGGGAGCAAACAGGAUUAGAUACCCUGGUAGUCCACGCCCUAAACGAUGUCAACUAGUUGUUGGGGAUUCAUUCCUUAGUAACGUAGCUAACGCGUGAAGUUGACCGCCUGGGGAGUACGGUCGCAAGAUU
rnacentral:rRNA from 1 species